UUUCAGACCCAAGAAUGAUAGAAAUAAGAUUGCGCAAUGCGCAUGUUUGCUUUCAGUCAGCUGUUCUUGGUGACGUCACGGUUGACUUAUUAUUCGCGCGCGCCUUUGAAUGUGAAAGAAAUUUGCUGUUUGAAAUGGGUUUAAGUUCGCGGAGUCUAACAAAGUUGCUACCUAGCGCUUUUCUCACGUUAACCAGAUUAACUCCUGCAGAGGCUAAUGAACGGCAGAAAAGGAUGGAGUCUCGUUUAAACCACUGUUUCUUAUCCUAAUUGCAAUAUUUUUCAACGUGUGUCAGUUGAUCUAAAUUCCACUGACCCAAUUGAAAAAAAUGAUGACUUGAAGAUUCUCAACAACGACGGGCUUGAAAAUUUGGCAGGGUACAUCUGCCACAAACUUAGUAAAGACAACCCCGAAAUUUGUGCCAAUUCAGAAAAUUGUUCGUCUUAUACCUGGGUGGAUCACCUUUCUGAAGGAGGACUCUCAAAACCAACAGAUAUGUUGAUGGAGCAUAUGAGAGCCUUGCAAGCAGUAUUUGACGAUGUAAAUGGUACUGAUUUGCAUAUAUGUACAAAUUACCACCAGAAACACUUAGAUUUAAGUAAUUUUGUAAAUUGUAGCUCGAAAGUAAAAAAAUAAUUGUUUUUCAGAGCAAGAAUGUAUUUUAGGAUUCGUUCCUUAAAUAAAAACUUUAUCGAACACAUGUAUAGCAAAAAAAGAAAAUUAAAUAAGACAAUAAAUUGAUACUCGGUCACAAAAUA